GAUGAAGAACGUAGCGAAAUGCGAUAAGUAAUGUGAAUUGCAGAAUUCAGUGAAUCAUCGAAUCUUUGAACGCACAUUGCGCCCGCCAGUAUUCUGGCGGGCAUGCCUGUCCGAGCGUCAUUUCAACCCUCAAGCCCCCGGGCUUGGUGUUGGAGAUCGGCGAGCCCCCCGGGGCGCGCCGUCUCCCAAAUAUAGUGGCGGUCCCGCUGUAGCUUCCUCUGCGUAGUAGCACACCUCGCACUGGGAAACAGCGUGGCCACGCCGUAAAACCCCCCACUUCUGAAAGGUUGACCUCGGAUCAGGUAGGAAUACCCGCUGAACUUAAGCAUAUCAUAAGCGGAGGA
rnacentral:misc_RNA from 1 species